rnacentral:rRNA from 1 species
AGUGAACGCUGGCGGUAGGCCUAACACAUGCAAGUCGAACGGCAGCACAGUAAGAGCUUGCUCUUACGGGUGGCGAGUGGCGGACGGGUGAGGAAUACAUCGGAAUCUACUUUUUCGUGGGGGAUAACGUAGGGAAACUUACGCUAAUACCGCAUACGACCUACGGUUGAAAGCAGGGGAUCUUCGGACCUUGCGCGAUUGAAUGAGCCGAUGUCGGAUUAGCUAGUUGGCGGGGUAAAGGCCCACCAAGGCGACGAUCCGUAGCUGGUCUGAGAGGAUGAUCAGCCACACUGGAACUGAGACACGGUCCAGACUCCUACGGGAGGCAGCAGUGGGGAAUAUUGGACAAUGGGCGAAAGCCUGAUCCAGCCAUACCGCGUGGGUGAAGAAGGCCUUCGGGUUGUACAGCCCUUUUGUUGGGAAAGAAAAGCAGCAGGUUAAUACCCCGCUGUUCUGACGGUACCCAAAGAAUAAGCCCCGGCUAACUUCGUG